GACGAACGCUGGCGGCGUGCUUAACACAUGCAAGUGGAGCGACGAACCAGAGCUUGCUCUGGGGCAAAGCCGCGAACGGGUGAGUAACACGUGGGUAACCUGCCCUGAUGAUUGGGACAACCCGAGGAAACUCGGGCUAAUACCAAAUGUGCUUUCCGGUCUUAAGGCCGGUUCGGAAAGGUAGCUUCGGCUUCCGCAUCAGGAUGGGCCCGCGGCCCAUUAGCUUGUUGGUGAGGUAACGGCUCACCAAGGCUUCGAUGGGUAGCUGGUCUGAGAGGACGAUCAGCCACACUGGGACUGAGACACGGCCCAGACUCCUACGGGAGGCAGCAGUGGGGAAUCUUGCGCAAUGCGCGAAAGCGUGACGCAGCAACGCCGCGUGGGGGAAGACGGCCUUCGGGUUGUAAACCCCUUUCAGUUGGGACGAAGCUUCGGCGGUGAAUAGCCGUUCGGAGUGACGGUACCUUCAGAAGAAGCCCCGGCUAACUACGUGCCAGCCGCCGCAGUAACAC
rnacentral:rRNA from 1 species